CAGGGGGGUGCUUACCAUGCAAGUCGAACGAUGAUCCCAGCUUGCUGGGGGAUUAGUGGCGAACGGGUGAGUAACACGUGAGUAACCUGCCCUUGACUCUGGGAUAAGCCUGGGAAACUGGGUCUAAUACCGGAUACGACCAUUCCACGCAUGUGGUGGUGGUGGAAAGCUUUUGUGGUUUUGGAUGGACUCGCGGCCUAUCAGCUUGUUGGUGGGGUAAUGGCCUACCAAGGCGACGACGGGUAGCCGGCCUGAGAGGGUGACCGGCCACACUGGGACUGAGACACGGCCCAGACUCCUACGGGAGGCAGCAGUGGGGAAUAUUGCACAAUGGGCGCAAGCCUGAUGCAGCGACGCCGCGUGAGGGAUGACGGCCUUCGGGUUGUAAACCUCUUUCAGUAGGGAAGAAGCGUAAGUGACGGUACCUGCAGAAGAAGCGCCGGCUAACUACGUGCCAGCAGCCGCGGUAAUACGUAGGGCGCAAGCGUUAUCCGGAAUUAUUGGGCGUAAAGAGCUCGUAGGCGGUUUGUCGCGUCUGCUGUGAAAGACCGGGGCUCAACUCCGGUUCUGCAGUGGGUACGGGCAGACUAGAGUGCAGUAGGGGAGACUGGAAUUCCUGGUGUAGCGGUGAAAUGCGCAGAUAUCAGGAGGAACACCGAUGGCGAAGGCAGGUCUCUGGGCUGUAACUGACGCUGAGGAGCGAAAGCAUGGGGAGCGAACAGGAUUAGAUACCCUGGUAGUCCAUGCCGUAAACGUUGGGCACUAGGUGUGGGGGACAUUCCACGUUUUCCGCGCCGUAGCUAACGCAUUAAGUGCCCCGCCUGGGGAGUACGGCCGCAAGGCUAAAACUCAAAGGAAUUGACGGGGGCCCGCACAAGCGGCGGAGCAUGCGGAUUAAUUCGAUGCAACGCGAAGAACCUUACCAAGGCUUUGACAUGAACCGGAAAGACCUGGAAACAGGUGCCCCGCUUGCGGUCGGGUUUACAGGUGGUGCAUGGUU
rnacentral:rRNA from 1 species